rnacentral:lncRNA from 1 species
GCUAAGUCUUCCUGGAAAGGUUGAGAGGUUAUCUGAUGGGCAGAUUCAAGGAUUCCUGAGACAGAGGUGAGUGGAGUAGAAAUGGAAAUUAGGGAGAGCAGGAGUUACCAAGUCAAAGUUGUAUUGCAGGUGGUGGUGACACAUUUAGUGUCCCUGAAGGUAGGAUGUGUGGGAUAGAGGGCAAGAGAUGAGCUUGGGCAUGCAGAACACGGGAUGGGCUUUUUUGUCAGGACUUUAUUUGGAGAAAAUGUGGCAGUGUGACCAGAAAAAAGACUCUUCAAGAUUCCUGCCAAGAAAUGAGGAUGACCUCAACUGAGAAUUAGUGAGAAGGGAAGUGGAUGGAUUUGAAAGACAUUUAGGAAGUAGAAUGCAUUGAAUUUGGAAAUAUAAGAAAGAAAAGAAAUGAUGAUGAUGUCAAAAUUUCUUGUUGAAAGUUUAUUCAGAACAAUAAUUUUUGAGAAUUUGUUCUAUUUCAGGCACAUAGUUAGAUGUAGGGGUGUAGUGAAGUUUCUAGUCCUGUGGCCAUGCAUGUAUAUUUACGUAUGCAGAAAAUGGUGACAGAGUAUGAUAUGUGCUACAUUAUGGAUUAAUUCAGAGAUUGAAGGACACUGUUCAGUUCUAGUGUUGCUUAACAAACCACCCCAAAUUCAGGGAUAUGAAACAAUGGUUUCACCAUGCUCGUGGAUUCUCUUGGUGAUGAAUUCAGAAAGGAACUUUUGUGGCUAGUUCUCUUCUUCUUGAUGUCUGAUGCCUCACCUGGGAAAAUGUGAAUGACCCAUUAGCUGUGGGCUAAAAUCAUACAAAGUCUUAUUCACCCACAUAUCUGGCUUCUAUAUUGGAAAGACUCAAAGGCUACACCUGGGUGUCUUGACCUGGCUUGCUCACAGCAGGGAAACUUUAGAGGAGUUGGGCCCCUUAUCUGGCAGCUCAAGGCUCUGAGCACAAGUCUUUCAAUGUCCAAGGUGGCAUCACCUUUUCUGAUCUGGCAUCAAAUGACUCUGCCACAUUUUAUUAGUUACAAAUGAGUCCCAAGUCCACCCAGAUUCUAGAGGAGGGGACACAGGCUCCAUCACUCAUUGGGAGCAUUGUCAAAAUUGCAUUGUCAAAUGCAUUUGACUUGGAAGUUAUUGUUGUGGCCAUCUUUGGAAAAUAAAACCUGCCAUAGAUGCCCAACCAAACCUCAGGAUAGGCUUUGAGGAGGAAGUAGUUUUAAAGUGUUCAGGUAGAGGAAACAGCAUAUAUAAAGACCUUCGGAAGGAAAGUAAACAUACUGCAUAGAUGGUAGAUUUGAACUACAGGGAUGGAGAGAACUCAGCUUAUUAAGUAAUUCAGAGCUUGAUCACAAAGGGCCUUUCAACUCUUGCAAAAUAACUUGAACCUUGUUCAGAUGGUGCAGGGAAUCCAUGUAGGGUUUUGAGUGGUAGUGAGGGGGCAUGUUUACAUUUAUGAUUUAGGUAGAUCAUUCUUUCUGUUGGGUCUUGAGUGGUGAACCAGAGUUUUCAAAAGAGAUUGGAUAACAGAAAGAACAGGACAGAUCAUCCUAAUACAGAGUGUCCUUUGAGCUGGACUGCAGAGUACAGAAUGGAUGGGGCCAUGGUAAGAUUAGAGGUAGGGUUGUCAGGGACAAGGUGAUUGUAGCAAUUUAGCUAAAACAGAAUAGUGGCCUACACCAGGAAAAUGGCAGUAGAGUUGGAAAUAAAUGAACAUAUUUGAGAAAUAGAGCAUGCAACAGACUGCACCUGAUGAUGCUUAUGUGUGUGGGAGAAAGAGAUGAAGAGGUAGGCAUUCAAUUACUUGAGGGAGAGAAUACAGGAGGUGGAAGAGGUUGUAGUGGAAAGAAAUGAUGAGAAAAAGUUAUGUAUUUUCAAUAAUUCAGCAUCUAAUUGUGUGUGGUUGACAUGUGAAUUUUAUUAUAAACACUGAAACAUGGUGGUAUUUCUUAGAAGUGCUGUUGAACAGGUGAGAAAAUUCUCUCUUGAAAUAAAAUACACAUUUUCACAUGAAAUUGGUAAAAUACAUUCCUACUCAUUUACUUUUGAUUUGUCAGUCUUUGGCCACAAAAGCAAUAAAUGACUACAGAAAUGACCCUAUAGAAUCUGAAAAAAAUAUUCCCUCCCACCGCAGGUAUUUAGAAUUUGGCCUGAGCUACGUGGGAAAAAUUUCACUGGAAAAUCUAUGGUGAAAGAGGGACAGCUGGAGGUCACAAUUGAAGCUUUGGCCUGUGGUUUUAAAAAUCAGAAAUUUCAUCUAACUCCUUGGAAGAUUCUGGAGACUUCAAAUUGUAAUUCCCACAAACUCAAAUGAACAACCUCAUUCAUUUGCACUUGCACUUCCAGAAGGAAAUACUAUUCUUGGUUAUGAAAAUACAAUUUCUCCCCUAAUGGACUGCCCUUUCUUUGUGAGCAUGCUUGCUUUUAUUAUUCUGAAAGGACAAAUGUAGUCAGGCUACAGAAUGAGAGCUGCACAUUGAUUUCAGCAGAGGAAAGAGAGCUUUGUUUCCUUAUUAUCUUUAGCUUAUAGGCAAUACACUCAUUUUUCAAGCAAAAUAAGAAUACUAUAAGACUUAUUAAAUAGGAAACUUGUGUAAAUUUUUUCUAAAUGGAAAGAAAGCCUGUGUAUAAAAGUAAUUUCUAUAAUUUUAUGUGUGCAUAUGUUACAACACACACACACAGCCUUAUGAAGUUAUUCAUUAAAUAGGUACUAAUUGAAUGUCUACCAGGUGCAAAGUAUCAUUUUCUGUGCUUGGAGAUACAGCAGUUAACACAGAAGACAUAAAUCCCUGUCCCAGGCACAAGAUGAGCUUGGAUGAAGACCGUCUUUGUAAGAAUAUUGGGAAAAAAAUGAACUUCUCUAAAUAAUUACCAUUUAAAUGAUCUUUCUAAAUCUUCCAUGAGUGGCUGAAACUAUUGAGGUAUUCAAAAACCACCUGAGCAAUUUACUGAGGUGCAGAUCCACACCUCUUUUCCAGAAAUCCUAAUGCACUUCAUCUCAGGAGGGGUCUAGAAAUCUGAGUUUUGAAGAUCCAUAGACUAAGGCACAAAUGGUCUACUAGGUAUGAGAUAUGAUAAAAUUUCCAUGUGUUGUCUCUUAUGCAAAUUCUUUUUCUUAUCAUUGUCUUUAAUAUCUUGCUACACCAGAAGAAAUCGCAGAGAACCCUGCAUGUCCCAGGACUUGAGCAUAUGGUAUUGUAAUUAUAUGGCAUUCUUAAAAACAAUCAGACAUUAUUCAUUUAUAAAAAUGAAAAUUCUUAAUUAGAAUAUUUCCAAGUACAGGUUGUUGGUCCUCAAUCAUGUGAUUAACAUGGCUGGUGUACAUUCCUUUAUAGCUGAUAUAAAUAUGUAUGCAUUUAGGUAUGAUUAUUUUCCUUUCUUAAAAGUGUCUUUGUUUAUUUUAUUUAAUUUUAUUUAUUUUUAUUUGUUUUCUUUGAGAUAGGGUCUUGCUCUGUCACCCAGGUUGGAGUGCAGUGGUGCUGUCAUGGCUCACUGCAGCCUCGACCCCCUGGGCUCAAGCAAUCGUCCAACCUCAGCAUCCCAAAUAGCUAGGAUCACAGGUGCAUGCCACCGUGCCUGGCUAAUUUUUCUAUUUUUUGUAGACGUGGGGCUUUCCCCACGUUGCUCAGGCUAGUCUCGAACUCCUGGGUUCAAGUGAUUUGCCUGCCUAGGCCUCUCAAAGGGAUUACAGACAUGAGCCACUGCACUCAGCCAAAAGUGUCCUUGUUUAUGCUUGCGAGUGCUUGUAUGCUGAAAGGAAGAAUUAUAUAUUGAUAAUAAAUGUAAACAGCAACUACAAAUGGCUCAUAAUUUCUAAGAUCCUCUUUUUAGAACUGCAGAUUUUGAAAUGCUUGGUCUUAUGUUAAGCGCCAACUUUACCUCAGACACGGGUCAUGGGUAACUAAGGGUUGGGCAGACAAUCAAACUCUUCAAUUUCUCUCUUAUUGGUCUCUUUUCCUCCUCAGGUCCUCUUUCAAAUUGCUGCAAAAUUUUCUAUUCCCAAACACACCCUUAGAACACACUCUGCUUAAAGGAGUAUAAAGUCUCCAUGUUGCCCUUGGAUUUCACCAGCUCAGCGGUGAGGCCAAUAGCACACAGUCCUCCCAGCCUUCCAUCCCCACACUGUGCACUCUGUUCUUCAGCCAGAGGGAACUUUAUGUGGGCUCUUUGAUGCCAACAGGUUUGGGCAUAUUCUUUUCCUUUAUUUUAAAAUAUACUCUCUUACCUAUUUUAUUUUAAAUAACAGCUGUAUUAAAAUAUAAUUCACAUACCAUAUAAUUGACCUCUUUAAAGUGUACAAUGCAGUGUUUUUAGUAAAUUCACAGGGAUAUGUAAACAUUACUGUGAUCUAAUUCUAGAACAUUUUCUUCCCCCAUAGAGAAAUUUGUAUCCACUAGUAUUCACUCCUAGGCAAACACAAAUCUAUUUUUUGUUCCCUAUAGAUGUGCUUUUUCUGAACUUUUCAUAUAAAUGGAUUCAUACAAUAUGUGGUCUUUUGUGAUUGUUUUCUUCCACUUAUCAUAGUGUUUUCAAGGUUCAUCCCUGCUGCAUCAUGGACUUCAUUCCUUUUUAUGGCUGAGUAAUAUUCCAUUGUAUGGUUAUACUUCAAUUUUAUUUAUCCAUUUGUUAAUUUAUAAACAUUUGAGUUUCUAGUUUUGGGUCAUUUUGAAUAACACUUCCAGAAAUAUUCAUAUAUUUCCUGUCUUUUGUGUCUGGUUGUAUCCUAGUCAUUGUUCAAGAUCCAACCCAAAUGACAGCUGCUUUGUGGAAUCUUCCUUGAUCUUUCAUGAAGUUACUUGCUUCUCCCACCUUCAUUCCCAUUGUGAUCACUUUGUGCUUUCCUCAACAUCUCUGUCCUCUCUCAACUGGGAGCUUCCCAAGGGCAAGGGCAGCAUCUCCCCAUUCUUUAUAUCUGCCCUGGUGACUGGCAUAGUCCCUAGUCAACAGACACAUAGAUGUUAUCUGUUGAAAGGAAGGAAGAAACAAGAGUACAUGAGUUAUGAACCUAGCUUGGUGAAAAAUGCAAUGCGAUGCUGAGGGCAAUAAUCAUUACUGAUGGAUUGAAAGCUAAUAGAUGUCUCCAGUAGUAAGAAUAAGACCUACAAGUCACUGGAACCUGUCAUGGGUAAGGGAUUUUGCUAACUACUUUACAUGUGCAGUCUCGAUUCAUAACUAUUGCAUUGCCCCAAUAAAACAGGCAUUUCUAUCCCUAUUUUUAAGGAAAUAAAUGAAGACUUUGAAAGAUUAAGUCCAUUUGUCUUUCCUCCAUCCAUUCAUUUUAUCUACUCUUUCAAAGAUUUUUAAGCAGAGUAUCUACAUUUUAAGAGACACACGU